rnacentral:rRNA from 1 species
CCCUUAGAUGUCCUGGGCCGCACGCGCGCCACACUGAGUGUCUGAGAUACGAGUCUGCCUAGCCGGCGAGGUCUAGGUAAUCGCUGAAAGACACAUCAUGCUUGGGAUAGAUUAUUGCAGAUAUUAAUCUUGAACGAGGAAUUCCUAGUAAGCGCAAGUAAACAGCUUGCGUUGAUUACGUCCCUGCCCUUUGUACACACCGCCCGUCGCUACUACUGAUUGGAUGUUUAAGCGAGGUUCUCGAACUGCUAGCGACUUAGCUUCGGUGAGGUCGCCGUGUGGGAAGUGAACCUAGCUUUGGUGUCUAGAGGAAGUAAAAGUCGUAUCA